UCUCUAAGCAACGGAUGUCUUGGCUCCUCACACGAUGAAGAACGUGGCAUAAUGUGUUAAGUAACCGGAGUUGCAAACAUCAUGACAGGUUAAUCUUUGAAUGCAAAUUGCGCUUACCCGGCUUCGGCCGAGGAGCAUGCGUGUAACAGUACAACA
rnacentral:rRNA from 1 species